GGCAGUGGAAAACGGAAGAGUAAUAUAUCGGAUCGCGCCCAGUCUUGGGGGAUAACAUAGCGAAAGCUACGCUAAUACCGCAUACGAUCUAUGGAUGAAAGCGGGGGAUCGCAAGACCUCGCGCGAUUGGAGCGGCCGAUAUCAGAUUAGGUAGUUGGUGGGGUAAAAGCUCACCAAGCCGACGAUCUGUAGCUGGUCUGAGAGGACGACCAGCCACACUGGGACUGAGACACGGCCCAGACUCCUACGGGAGGCAGCAGUGGGGAAUUUUGGACAAUGGGCGCAAGCCUGAUCCAGCAAUGCCGCGUGCAGGAUGAAGGCCUUCGGGUUGUAAACUGCUUUUGUACGGAGCGAAAAGGCUCUCUCUAAUACGGGGGGCUCAUGACGGUACCGUAAGAAUAAGCACCGGCUAACUACGUGCCAGCAGCCGCGGUAAUACGUAGGGUGCAAGCGUUAAUCGGAAUUACUGGGCGUAAAGCGUGCGCAGGCGGUUAUGUAAGACAGAUGUGAAAUCCCCGGGCUCAACCUGGGAACUGCAUUUGUGACUGCAUAGCUAGAGUACGGCAGAGGGGGAUGGAAUUCCGCGUGUAGCAGUGAAAUGCGUAGAUAUGCGGAGGAACACCGAUGGCGAAGGCAAUCCCCUGGGCCUGUACUGACGCUCAUGCACGAAAGCGUGGGGAGCAAACAGGAUUAGAUACCCUGGUAGUCCACGCCCUAAACGAUGUCAACUAGGUGUUGGGGGAGGAGACUUCCUUAGUACCGUAGCUAACGCGUGAAGUUGACCGCCUGGGGAGUACGGUCGCAAGAUUAAAACUCAAAGGAAUUGACGGGGACCCGCACAAGCGGUGGAUUAUGUGGAUUAAUUCGAAUGCAACGCUGAAAAACCUUACCUACCCUUUGACAUGUCAGAAAAGAUCGCAAAAGAUGUGAAUUGUGCUUCGAACGAGAAUCUGAAUCCAGGGUGCUUGCAUGGGCUGUCAUCCACCUCCGUGUCGUGGAAUUGUUGGGUUAAGUCCCUCAACCAACCGGAACCCUUGGUCAUUAAUUGGGAUCAUUUUAGUUGGGCACUUUAAUGAAACUGCCCGGUGAAAACCCGGAAGGAAGGUUGGGAAUGACGUCCAAGUCCUUUAGGGCCUUUAUGGGAAAGGGCUUCCACCAAAUACCAAAGGGCCGGUAAAAAGAGGUUUGCAACCCCCCGAGGGGGAG
rnacentral:rRNA from 1 species